AUCUUGUGGUGCGCCGUUUUUUAAGCCGGUCAGAAAAGCGCAGUAUUUGGGUGGGAGCGACCCGAUUUUCCAGGUGCGUCGGUCACCCCUUCCUUUGACUCGGAAAGGGAACUCCCUGACCCCUUGCGCUUCCCAAGUGAGGCAAUGCCUCGCCCUGCUUCGGCUCGCGCAGGGUGCACACACCCACUGACCUGUGCCCACUGUCUGGCACUCCCUAGAUAGAUGAACCCGGUACCUCAGAUGGAAAUGCAGAAAUCACCCUUCUUCUGUGUCGCUCAGGCUGGGAGCUGUAGACCGGAGCUGUUCCUAUUCGGCCAUCUUGGCUCCUCCCCCACCCCCGUAUUAUCUUAAAAAUUACAUUGGAAAUGGAUGGGGAGAAGGCCUGAUGAAAAUUACUGAGGAAGCCUCUUAGCCUAUGUGCUCUGAGAGUAGUGACACCUAGCAGUCGUUAAGACCACUUAAAUUAUCCUAAGACAAUGGAUGUGAACAGGCACUUUUCAAAAGAAGACAUACAUGCAGCCAACAAUCAAAUGAAAAAAAGCUCUACAUUACUGAUCAUUAGAGAAAUGCAAAUCAAAACCACACAAAAGAUGAUCAAGAGGAGCAUGAAAAAAUCCCCUGAAUCCAUUGGCUUUCUUCCCUAUACUGACAACAGUUUACUUGUGUAAGAGAUGCAUGCCUCGACUCCGGACCCCUUCUUUCAUCUGCAAAAUCAGCAGCACCCUCACAUCAUCUCCUGUAACAAACUCUCUCUGUCUCCUCCAUAUAAGGUCACUGAUGGUUACAUUUAGGGUCCAUGAUAUAAGGCCCUCUCCAGGGUGCCUGAGUUUGUUGUUUCAUCACAGAAUUACACGGAAGAGACUGGAAAGAUAACUCUUCAAAUGUCAAAUCAUUCCCCUAUAAAAAAUUUUGCCACAGCUGUUGAAAUAUGGCCUUAGGGUUUAUGACAGAAUUUGAACCAGCCCCAUGGAAAAUGCAUCUUGACUCUGCUUUUAUUCCUUUCCCUGCUGAGCUCCUAAUAGAAGAUGGAUGUCUAUUGCUUUUCUCUUGAUAUUCAUGGCACUGCUCCUCUCCAUCCAUAGGAUUAUCUUAUUCAAGUUGGUGUGUAUCUGCAAAGGCGAUGGAAAGGAGUUCUUACAUAUGCAUAUUCUGAAGAAGGAUGUUACCCUUACUGAAAAACUUAUUCCAAGAUAUGUUUAAUCAAUCAUGAGAAAAAUAAAGAGACAUCCUUAUGAAUGGAGAAUAAAGUCCUCAGGGUUUUUUUCUAAUUCCCCAUGUGAAUGAAGAGCUGUGUUAUUCUAAAUAUAGUGUUUGUCAUAAGGCAAUUGUGUUGGUUUGAGUCCUUAGUCGCUGUGACACUGAUAGAAUUCCUAUCUCCAAUUGGAAGGUAAGUUGACCUUGCCUCACUUUUGGGCAUUUACAAAGUAAAAGUGUCUUCAUAUUCCAGGUUACAAUCCUCAUAGAGAUGCAGGAAGAGUCCAAAACUACCAAGGCAGACAGAAAUGCACCAUUGAGCUCUGCUGUUGAAAGCAUCUGAUGGUGGCCCAUUCUGAUGAGACAUUGGACUUCCCUAGUAGGAAAGUUUGGUUUGGGGACUCCUGUCUUUCUGGCUCAGAUUUUCUUAGAGCUGCACUGCAGUCUGAGACUCUACCUGCCCCACUCUCUUUCUUUCCCUUUCUUGUCAACAACAUCAGUUCUGCAUUGCAGUCUGAAGGAUUUCUCUGCCUGAUCCUGCUUUCUCCUCUUUAUUCUUUGCAGUUGUUUCUAACUGCAGAAUCUCUUGAAAGUCUACUCCCAUCUGGCCGGGCGUGGUGGCUCAUGCCUGUAAUCCUCGCACUAUGGGAGGCCGAGGCGGGCAGAUCACGAGGUCAGGAGAUAGAGACGAUCCUGGCUAACACAGUGAAUCCCCGUCUCUACUAAAAAAAAAAAUACAAAAAAAAAAAAAAUUAGCCGGGCGUGGUGGCGGGCACCUGUAGUCCCAGCUACCUGGGAGGCUGAGGCAGGAGAAUGGCGUGAACCCGGGAGGCCGAGCUUGCAGUGAGCCGAGAUCACGCCACUGCACUCCAGCCUGGGUGACAGAGCGAGACUCCAUCAAAAAAAAAAAAAAAAAAAAAAAAGUAAGUCUACUCCCAUCUUGCUGUCUGCUUUUCAGAUGACCUAAAUAAAUACUUUAAAAAAUAUAAUUGGUGAAACCCCGUCUCUACUAAAAAUACAAAAAUUAGCUGGACGUGGUGGUGGGUGCCUGUAACCCCAGCUACUAGGGAGGCCGAGGCAGGAGAAUCGCUUGAACCUGGGAGGUGGAGGUUGCAGUGAGCCGAGAUCACGCCACUUCACUCCAGCCUAGGCAAUAGAGUGAGACUUUGUCUCAAAAAAAAAAAAAAAUAAAUUGUUUUGAAGAUGGUGAAUAUGGGAUUAUCACCUCACCUGAGAAUAGGAGUGAGAGAAAUUGAAUAAAUAUAGAGAAGUGAAGUUAUUUCAAUAAGAAUUUUUAAAUUUAAAGUCAUGUAGAUUCUGAGAUGAGAUCAUAUUAGAAGACAAGUUAGAAAUGGACUACUUAGCUUUAAGAAAGAGUUAACAUCUAGGUACAUAUCAAUAAUGGCUAAAUCUAUGAGCAUUCUCCUUGAAUGAUGAAACUCCAUCUUUGUUUCAGUCAUGGAAUUGCGCUGUUGAACUUUUUGUGUCCUGUCUAGGGCAAGUCUUAACUGCAUCAGCCCUCAUUACAGGUUAAAUACACCCAAAGUCCCUAAUCAACAUUCACUGCAUGUGUUUGUAAGUAAAAGCAUUUGCGUUUCAAUUAUGGAAGAGUCUUUACUGUAAUAUGGAGACUAUCUGAGCUUACUUUUGUUAUUUCUGUAAAAGUAAGUUACCAGCCCACAUUUAUCUAUUAACUUUUUGCAAUAAUUGUAGUAUAAUUUGUGAGCUUAUUAAGAAUGUGAUUGUUUUUUAAAUAUUUGGAAACAUUCUUUCUACAAAAUACUAAUAGCUCAGAUGGGAAAUAUUUUGAAUAAUUGUAUGUUUUAAGUAUAGUCAAUAAAUCAAAUAAAUUUCAAUUCAUAACAUUUUUCAUUAGAUGACAAUGUUAUAUAAACUUAAUAUAGUUUCAGUGAUAGGUUAUAUUUGUUUUUUCUUCCUAUUCCCUUAGUUCAUCUUGAAGCUCAUUCUGGGUGUGUAACUGAUUCCAAAGGCAAUUUCCCUUCAUCCUCAGUUUUAGGAACUCCCAGGAACCAAAGCUUAAAUAUCUAUUUUCUUAGGAAGGCUACAUUUAUAUAAAUGUAUUAAGCCUGAUCCCUCUCUGAGAGCAAAUAUAAUUACAUUUGUUUUUCCCAGUUUGUAAUAAAACUUUAAAUAAAGAUCUCUAGAUAAAGGACUUUUACCCCCCUGGUUAAAAUCUGCUUUCUUGUUUACUUAACAUUUGGUGGUGAUGCAAUGUAUAAGGUAUCGGCCAAGGAAUGACUCUGUCUUUUCCUGUUGUUUUCUUCUACAGGUUGUGUUUCACAUGGAUGUGGGUAUGGUAUGCCACAGCAAUAUGACAUCUUGAUUAUGUGUAUCUGUCAAGACUGUUUUAAAGAACAUUCUCACCUCAGAUUUCUUAGGUCAUAACAUUAUAUUCUUGGUAUUCACAGCCUAAACUGUCAUGCAGAUGGAAUACACUUUGCUUUCUUGGUGAUCUGUGGUAUAGAGAAUGAGUUCCAGUUACCAUGGGAAAUGUAUUUGUUUGUUGGCUUGUUUCUUGUCUUAAUAGUGGUUUGUAUUAAAAGUAAAAUCAGAAAAAUAUCUAAAAAAUCUAUUGAGAUGGUGGCGAACAUUACGAAUCUUAACCUUCUUAUAGAAUACCCAAAGAACAGAUCUAAAGAAUUUCAAUAAUGACCAUAGGUUAUGUCAAAUAGUACAUUAGCUAUAUAUAUAUAUAUAUAUAUAUCUGUAAUAAAUAAUAUUUUGAUUAAUUUUCCACCAGAUAUAUACAUAUGUAAUUUUCCUGCUAAUAUAUAUUUGUACCAAAUCUGUACAUUUGAACUUUCCCUUCCAAACGUUUUUUUAUUUGGGUAUAGUUAUUAGCAGUCAUCUGUAGCAGGUCAGAGUGCUGGAAGAGAGGCUGGUAGACAUCAAAAUAAAUGACUUCCGUGCCACAUCUGAGAUGCCCUAGAGGCCGAGAUCAUGAUUCCCUUUGUCAAAUAAACUAAAAGUUCUAGAAUUUUCAGACUCCUGUUAGUUUCUGCUACCACUUAAGUGUUAAUAGCUAAUAAUAGAGCAAGCUUGAUUACUACCUUGGUGUCCUAAAACGGAUGUUGGCCUGCCAGGUAAUGUCCCUCCAUUUGCAUCUUGUUUUUUCUAUCUAUGUAGCCAUGGAGAACACGUGCCACAAUUUACAGGGGAUGGUCAUCUUAUCUGUAAAAUAAAGUGUUCCCGUCAGAUGAUCCCCAGUAUGCUGAGUUGUGUUUCUCUGAGGCACCCACCACCACGCUGGGCUAAUUUUUGUAUUUUUAGUAGAGACGAGAUUUUACUGUGUUGGCCAGGCUGCUCUCAAACUCCCUACCUCAGGUGAUCUGCCCACCUUGGCCUCCCAAAGUGCUAGGAUUACAGACAUGAGACACUGUGCCUGGCCGAGCUGCUGAUUUUUAUUCAAGAGUCUAUAGUUGUUUUUCCUUUUUUUCUUAUUUUCUACUUAACUUCCAGGAGGCAUGAGUGUGGACUGAAUGGAACACUAAGAUUUCUUCCAGUUCUAUGAUUUUAUGAAUUAUUACUUGAUAACUCUAUAUAUUGGCAAUGACAUAGAUGAGAAGUUUUCCUGAUUUCUAUUCCACUUCUUUUUUUUUUUUGCUUCUCUUUCUCCUAGGAAAACAAUAUUUUUUUCCCCAGAUUACCAUAUCUUACUGUAGUAAAGAAUAAUUAAAAUAUUCAAAAGCAAAGCGUCACUGGCUGCCAAGGCUCUUAAAAAUGCUCAAACAUAUUUUAGGUCUGUAAAGAUUAUCUUUUCUCAUUCUUCAUACAACACUAAAAUAUUAAUCCUGACCAUAGUGUGACUAUAUUAGUAUUAGUAUGAGUACUUUUAGAUGCUUAGUAAUUAGUUCUGCAAAAGAUUGAUAAAAGACACUAUCAUAUCUAUGAGAAUUCGAGAAUCAUAACUUGUCUUCCUGUUUUAAAUGCAUGCUUAGAUAACUAAAAAUAAUUUUAAACUGUUAUCAGUCUCAUUAUUUUUAGUGAAAAAUACACCUUUCUCCAGAUACAUAUUCCUUUAUCUGGGAAAUAUAGAUGGAAUCAGUGAUAUACCUGUUGCUGAGCACAUUAUUAUAUCAUUAAUGCUUAUAUAUUUCAAAUUAUAUGCAUAUUCUCUCCAGAGUGAUUAGAUCCCUUCUACAGUUAGGGUAAUGAAGGCUUUAUUUGCCUGAGGGGACACAGGGAACCAUUUAGGAGAGUGAGGCAAUUAAGCAAUUAUAUAACAUUUUGAAAACAUUCAAUACUUCCCACCAUUUGAUUUGUACUUCUGGAGAACUGCUUUUCUCAUACUAGCUGGUUAGAAUAGUAAAAAUCCUCACACCCUCCCCUCCCAUCUGUCAUUUUUUUUGGUCAUGAAAUUAUACCUCAUUUUACAAAAUGCAUUUUUCUGAGAAACUAAUGCUUACAUUGAAUUUUGCAAGUUUAAUAAUUAAGGAUUGGAAUGUUUUAUUUAAAAUAAUUAAGAUUAUUUUUUAAAAGUAUCACGUGUGAAAGUAAUUAUCACCCCCAAAUUGUAUUUUGCAAAUUGUGCCUAUUUUAUCACUACUAUACAUUUAGGACGAAAAGAAAAAAAGUUGGGGGUGGAUAAUCUAUCAUAAUACAAAAAGAAAAACUCUUGAGUCAGUGUUACUUUUCAUUGGGGAAAAGGCAGGUGGGAAAAAUAGAUAAAUACAAGUUAGAGUUAAUCCUAAAAUCUCAUUACAGCUUAAAAUAUCAAUCUCUAGAAAUACAAAACAUUUGCCAAAAUAAUUGUUAAUAUGUGCAACACUACCCAAAUUAAAAAAUGCAAUUCUCCCUUCUGCUAGUCCUCCUUCUGUACCAAUAUAAUUAGCAAUAAAAUUGAAGGCAACAAAAAUAAGAAAAGACAUAAUGAUCCUGGAAAAUCUACAAAAUGGAUUAUCAUUUUCUAACAAUUGUUAAUACACUGUGUUUUUUAUGUGGUGGUGUGAUAACAUUUUUUUCUUGCUUUCUUGUAAGUUAGGUACUGUGCUAUAUUUAUCUUUGACAGGGCACCUAGCAUCUGAUAGAAAUUCUAAACAGCAAAUGGUAGUAUGAUAUUUUUAUUAUCUAUGCCUCUUAAAACUCUGGCCAAUAGCAAGUAACACCAUUUCCACCUCCCAGAGGAGAAAGAUAAACACAAAAGGAGCUUAAGUGGAUAAAUCACAUAGCAUGGACACAGAAUCUUUUCUAAAUAAAUAACCUAUUAAAAUAGAAGUUGGCAGUCUUAUAAAAAGAAAAUAAAAGUUCUGAUGAGGAAACCUGGGUUGUUUCUCAGCUCUAACUACAAAAAUAAACAUCCUUGAGAAAUUGCUGAACCUCCUUGUUCUUGCUUAAUGUAAAAUGAGAGGGCAAGAUUAAAUGAUCUCAAAGCUCCCUUUCAGUUCAGGGACUGUGAAAUAAUAUGGUAAAUAGGCUUACUUAGGACCUUCUCGGGCACUAGCACUUUAAGAGUUUUACGUGGAUUGUAUAAUCAUCAAAAUAAUCCUGCAUAAUAGACACCAUUGUUAGUUGCAUUUUAUGAAGAAAGUGAGGCUUAACCAUUGAAGUAUUUUACACAAUGUCAUGUGUUUAGGGAGCAGCCAAGGUGAAGUUUUCAACCAGGCCGACCAACUUCAGAGUCCACUGGCUUCAAAACAGUGCUUUACAUCCUCCUUCCAACAUUAUUCACAAGCCGAUCAAGACUGAGAGAGUCACAAGUGUGUGAAACCUGUAUUCUUUCUGACUUCAUUUUCCCUGGUCGAAAUUUUUGUAGAAUAGACAAAUCAAGAAUGAUGACUUCUUAAGAUGCAGUAUUCAAGUUCAGAAAUCUAUACUCAGAUGACCUUAUGUAGGUCAUCUGCUUCUGAGGUUUAUCUCACCAGUGAGAGUUGAAAACAUAUCCUCUACUUAUAUUAAACUAGGAUGCAUAAGAGGGUUGAUAAAAUGGAAUUCAAGUGAACA
rnacentral:lncRNA from 1 species